GGACGCGCCGCCCGGCUUCUCCGCUCCCUUCGGGGUGGCCGCUCCGCCCGGCGUGGGCACCUCGGACUCUCCGCGGAGCAACCAGGUGGCCAGACCUGGGGAGGGGGCGCCCAAGGCAGGAGAAUCGUUUGAACCCGGGAGGCGGAGGUUGCAGUGAGCUGAGAUCACAGCACAGCGCUCCAGCCUGGGUGACAGAUAGAGUAAGACUCCGUCUCAAGAAAAACGAAAACAAGAAAACAAUGCAUUGUUUCUGUUCCUGUAUCCCCCUGGCCACCAGAUAAAUCACCAAGAUCAGGUCCCAUCAGGCCUGCUAAGGGAGGAGUGGAAUCAUAAAUUGAAGGAACUACAAGACCAGGCUAAUAUACACCAGCAGAAACUGAAAAUAAGCCUGGGAAUGGACACUAAGGGGCCUAGAUCAAGGGCUGAGGGGUGGGGAGCAGCGUGUUUUACAGCCUCCUGCUCUGCACCUGUUCUUCCCCAAACCUUGGAAGGAAUGCAGUCACCUUGUUAGUUCAAACCAGCUCCUGACAGACCCCGACAACGUACAGAUGAACCUGAGUGAACUCUCUGCAUGACCACGCUAAAGUAUCCAUCCCGGGAGAAGUUAUAGCUUCAUUCCCAUCACAUGCAGCCUAUGGGCUGGCAGGAUGACUCACUGCAUCUGCACCAUUGGGAUCCCUCCUCUCCAUGCAAUCAUGCACCCAUCUCCCCUCUCCUCACCGCAUAAAACCCUCUUGUCACUUCCCCUUGGGGAGACACUGCUUUGGAGAAUACUCCCAGUGUCCUUACUGGCACCAAGGAAUAAGUUGGUCUCGAACUUCCGGCCUCAAGUGAUCCACCCACCGCAGCCUCCCAAAGUGCUGGGAUUACAGGCGUGAGCCAUCACAUCUGGCCAGAUAUACCUAUAUAUCUGUAAAAACCUGGUUGUGUAGAAGACUGAGGUUAACCAUCUUAGUGGAAAAACACAAACACCUGCCCAGAUUCCCCAACCUGAGCCAGCUCUCAAUUCCAAAACACGCAUCCAGGCUGGGUGACGUGGCUCAGACCCGGAAUUCCAAUGCUCAGGAAGCUGGGGCAGGAGGAUCAUUUGAGUCUAGGAAUUCGAGACCAACCUGAGCACAGUAAGACUCUAUCUCUACAAAAAAUAAAUUUAAAAAAAUA